UACGUAGGGUGCAAGCGUUGUUCGGAAUCAUUGGGCGUAAAGCGCGUGUAGGUGGCUAGUUAAGUUGGAUGUGAAAUCCCUGGGCUCAACCGAGGAAGUGCAUUCAAAACUAGCUGGCUAGAGGAUGGUAGAGGAAGGUGGAAUUCCAAGUGUAGAGGUGAAAUUCGUAGAUAUUUGGAGGAAUACCGGCGGCGAAGGCGGCCUUCUGGGCCAUUCCUGACACUGAGACGCGAAAGCGUGGGGAGCAAACAGG
rnacentral:rRNA from 1 species